rnacentral:rRNA from 1 species
UACGUAGGUGACAAGCGUUGUCCGGAUUUACUGGGCGUAAAGAGCGCGCAGGCGGUCGUUCAAGUCGAGUGUGAAAGCCCCCGGCUCAACUGGGGAGGGUCAUUCGAUACUGAUCGACUCGAAGGCAGGAGAGGGAAGUGGAAUUCCCGGUGUAGUGGUGAAAUGCGUAGAUAUCGGGAGGAACACCAGUGGCGAAGGUGGCUCUCUGGGCCUUUCCUGACGCUGAGACGCGAAAGCGUGGGGAGCGAACCGG